ACUGGAGCAGCUCUGCCUAAAAACGCAAUGACUAUGUAAGUGUAGACCUACACAUAGGCUGUUGACGUGUAAGGGAUGUACAUGCUCAGCACUAAAUGUGCCUUGAUGGGACCGCAGUAUGCAUUCGCAGUGCAAAGCAUUUGAUUUACUAAGACUACAGUUAAGCACACAAACUGUGCAUAGCUCUGCCUAGUAACUGCUCACUUGUGAGGUGCAGGGUUUAACAGAUGCAGUGUAAUAAUGGACAGUCUCAAGAGAAUUACAUGAAACAGAACAUGAAAGCUUGGUGAAGAGUGUUAAUAAAGUUCUUUCCACUAAACCUUC